GUAUUAGUUAUAUCGUGCUCCAAAUCAGCAAGCUGCUUGUCAGACAAGAACUUAUCAACCCCCCCAAAUCACUGUGUUCCUAGUCAUGAAGAUUGGUUGUUUGUCCAAGAGGCUGUCCUCAAGGCUUGGGAAACACAAAAUCUCCCUCCCCUCUCAGCCAAACCUCUUGGUCAAAUUGGUUUUCAAUGAUGAUCCCUCCGCAGGUUCACCUACGGAGA
rnacentral:misc_RNA from 1 species